rnacentral:rRNA from 1 species
UACGGGGGGGGCAAGCGUUAUCCGGAUUUACUGGGUUUAAAGGGUGCGUAGGUGGGUCUGUAAGUCAGUGGUGAAAUCUCCGAGCUUAACUCGGAAACUGCCAUUGAUACUAUAGGUCUUGAAUUAUCUGGAGGUGAGCGGAAUAUGUCAUGUAGCGGUGAAAUGCUUAGAUAUGACAUAGAACACCAAUUGCGAAGGCAGCUCACUACGGAUUUAUUGACACUGAGGCACGAAAGCGUGGGGAUCAAACAGG